rnacentral:lncRNA from 1 species
CUUAUUUCAGCUGAUGUAUGUAAAUCUGACCUUGAAUUUUGAGUUAGGUCCUCUUUUGUCCAACACAGGAUUCUAAAUAAAAUCUGUCUUCCUCACACAACAUUUCUAGAGCUGAUCUGGAGAGGCGGAAAUGCUCUUUUUGAAUGUUGCCUUUAGGAUCCAGUCUCAACAAACACACUACGGGCACGUAGCUCCUCAUCAGCCUGGUAGUAAUUUACCAUUACAGUACAUAUUUUGAGUAUUUAGAUGCAUUCAUCCUAAUUCAAAGAGUGGACAUUGCUACGAGAACGUAAUACUUACCUUAGUUUGCAGGCCCAAAGUGCGGAAAAACAGAAUAAGAUGUGUCAUGAAGCGAAGGAGGUGCCCUGGCAGCACACUUCUGUCUUUGGAAAGCCAUCUGCUGAACUCUUCCAUCAGACCAUCCACAUCUCCCAGUAUAAUGAAUUUCUGAAUCACACGAUAGUGUUCUUGGUUCUCCUCUAUAACUCUCUUUUUGUCUGUUGCCUGAAGUUCUUCAAACACUCUUUCUGUAGUCCAGUUGGUUUCUAAAUACUCUCUAGGGAGCUCUUCCACCUCCUCUGUAGUUACUACUGAUGUUCGUAUUUCCUGCUCCACAAGUGUAUCCACCAUGACCCUAAAAUAUGCCCAAACAGUGUCCUCCCAGGUGUCACAAACUGGAAGAAGCUGCUUGAGGUUUCCACUGAGUGCUGCAUAGAUUGCUCUCUCGUAUCUGUUAAAUUGCUCCUCUUCAGCCAUACGCCAACAACAUAUUUUCCAAAUGCAUCUGUAUGGAUUCCCUUCAACAGGCUGUACCUCGUUUCCUACUCCAUUUAUGUUGGGAUCGUGAUACAAUUUCCA